rnacentral:rRNA from 1 species
AGUGAACGCUGGCGGUAGGCCUAACACAUGCAAGUCGAACGGCAGCACAGGAGAGCUUGCUCCCUGGGUGGCGAGUGGCGGACGGGUGAGGAAUACAUCGGAAUCUACUCUGUCGUGGGGGAUAACGUAGGGAAACUUACGCUAAUACCGCAUACGAACUAAGGGUGAAAGCAGGGGACCUUCGGGCCUUGCGCGAUUGAAUGAGCCGAUGUCGGAUUAGCUAGUUGGCGGGGUAAAGGCCCACCAAGGCGACGAUCCGUAGCUGGUCUGAGAGGAUGAUCAGCCACACUGGAACUGAGACACGGUCCAGACUCCUACGGGAGGCAGCAGUGGGGAAUAUUGGACAAUGGGCGCAAGCCUGAUCCAGCCAUACCGCGUGGGUGAAGAAGGCCUUCGGGUUGUAAAGCCCUUUUGUUGGGAAAGAAAUCCAGCUGGCUAAUACCCGGUUGGGAUGACGGUACCCAAAGAAUAAGCACCGGCUAACUUCGUGCCAGCCGCCGCCGUAA